rnacentral:rRNA from 1 species
AAUCUCCGUCAAUGGGCGCAAGCUUGAACCACCGAUGACGCGUGAGAGAUGAAGGCCUUCGUGUUUUAAUGUUCUGUGGGGAGGGACGACAGAGCGCAGUCGACUAGGCUGCGAGUGGACGGUAUCUCCUUAGUAACAACCGGCUAACUCUGUGCCAGCAGCCGCGGUAAGACAGAGGGUGCAAACGCAGUUCGGAUUUACUGGGCGUAAAGCGCGUGUAGGCGGCUUUGCAAGUCGGAUGUGAAAUCCCACGGCUCAACCGUGGAAGUGCAUCCGAAACCGCAUCGCUCGAGUCUCGGAGAGGAAAGUGGAAUGCUUGGUGUAGAGGUGAAAUUCGUAGAUAUCAAGCAGAACACCUGCGGCGAAGGCGGCCUUCUGGACGAUGACUGACGCUGAGACGCGAAAGCGUGGGGAGCAAACAG